CUUUCUCCUAGAGACAACACAAUGCCUUUCUCUUUCUCCUAGGGACAACACAAUGCCUUUCUCCUAGGGACAACACAAUGUCUUUCUCCUAGGGACAACACAAUGUCUUUCUCCUAGGGACAACACAAUGUCUUUCUCCUAGGGACAACACAAUGUCUUUCUCCUAGGGACAACACAAUGU
rnacentral:lncRNA from 13 species